rnacentral:lncRNA from 1 species
CACCGCCACCUUCCAAGAGUACUUGUGCUAAAACAACUCUUCCUUCUCCUCCCAAACCGCAACUUCUGCCGCCUGAUGUUUUAGUUUCAAAACCUGAAGACCCAUCACUUUCUGAAGAGACUAAAAACUAUUCAUCGGAUGGAGCCCAACAAUCAACCACUAGUCAUCCAGCUGCCACUGGGAUGCCAACCUCAAGUACCAUUUCUGGCAAGGUGUUACCUAAAGCACCACCCACUCCGCGUUCUGAGGUUUCUUCAUCAACCCGGCCUCCUCCAACUCCUCCAACUCCCCCACCACCUCCUCCAACACCGCCUUUGAAAGAGAACCUUUUUGACGGCUCCAGACCUCCGCCGCCUCCACCUCCUCCUCUUCACUCAGGGCAAGCUGGAGGCACUACAAUCUCAUCCCCAGUUCCACCACCACCUACUGCUCCCACUUCUUCCGCCAAACAUGGAGCUCCUUCUGCCCCUCCUCCUCCACCUCCUAUUGGUAAAGGAGGUUCUAAGCCGGGUAACCCUCCCCCACCACCUAUUAGUUCCCCUGGUGGUGCAAAAGGACGCCUACUACGUACCAUAAGUUCAAAAAAUAAUAAUUCAAAAAAACUGAAGCCGUUGCACUGGUUAAAAUUGUCAAGAGCGGUUCAGGGAAGCUUAUGGGCUGAGGCACAAAAAUCUGAUGAAGAGGCCAAGUAUGAUUUAACUUGCUACGAGAGAAGAGAAGAAUUGUUUCAUGUAUAGAUCUUCCAGCCUUUAACAUUAUUUCUUUUUAAUAUUGAGACAGGGCUCCUGAGAUUGACAUGUCAGAGCUUGAGACUCUUUUCUCAGUGGCCGCUCCGGCCCAGGAUAAGGGUAGGAAGUCAGCCGCACAUGGUUCGGUUGCCCCUAAAUCUGAAAAAGUACAACUGGUAAUUGUAAUUUCAACUCUCAGUUAAUGCACAACACAAUUGCUCUUGAGGAUUUGUUACUUGACGUGGUUUGUGUUCAUCGUUAUAUUUCAUAGUUUAAUGCACUAUCAUGAAUGAGGGAUAUGUGUUUUAUUUCUUUCUUGCAUAUGAGCCUACUUUGUCUCUGCUUAUUCAUUUCACUAUAUAUCUAACUGGCUUUUUAUUUGUUUACUGCAGAUUGACCACAGGCGAGCGUACAACUGUGAAAUCAUGCUUUCAAAGGUGAAGGUUCCGUUGAACGAGUUAAUGGUAUGCUUGAUCGUAAUUCCACAAGUUUAUCUGCUUUCAUCAACCUUGUUUUCAAUAUUAAUCCCUAUAAAAUAUGACGUUUUCUGUAAUAUUGACAGGAUUCGGUACUUGCCCUGGAAGAUACAGCAUUAGAUGUUGACCAGGUAGAGAACCUCAUAAAGUUUUGCCCAACAAAAGAGGAGAUGGAACUACUUAAGGUAAGUCUUUAGCUGAAGAUGUAAGGUUUAGGUAAAUCUUUCAAGUAUACGUAAUCUCAUUUAUUUUGUGUUCAGGGCUACACUGGAGAAAAGGAGAAGUUAGGAAAAUGUGAACAGGUUUGCAGGAUGUCAUGAGUACAUUUGUUUGUUAAUUAUAUAAUGUAUUUUCCAUUCCUUUAUACAUGGGGAUCCCUUUAUUAAUUUUUUAAUGUUUGUGGCAGUUCCUCUUAGAGUUGAUGAAAGUACCUCGAGUAGAAUCUAAGCUCAGAGUUUUCUCAUUCAAAAUACAGUUCUCUUCCCAGGUAAACUAGCAUAUGUAAUUACUUAUCAGCUUAGCUGUAAUAUUGUUUGUGUUUUAUAUUAAGACUUGCUGGUGGCACCGUGUAGGUCUCUGAUCUUAGAAAUAGCCUGAAUGUAGUGAACUCUGCAGCAGAAGAGGCAAGUUAUUCCUUCUUUUUUUCUCUUAAUCGUUGAUCACCAUUCAAGGAUUAUCAAAUUCUUUAUUUAUCUUACAACCUGUUCUACUUAUCAGAUCAGGAAUUCUGGCAAAUUGAAAAGAAUCAUGCAGACGAUUCUUUCAUUAGGAAACGCUUUGAACCAGGGGACAGCUCGGGGUAAGCUCAAAUUAAUUUCGAUUUCAAAACUUUGCAAUGUAAAAUAUCGCAAUGUCAAGCACAUAGUUCAACACUUUGUAUGCGGCCCAAAUGUGUUUCAUCUACAUUGUCCUUGGAAACCUUUCAUGCCAUACAUGCAACAGAUUUUAUGCUGCUAAUUUGUGCUCAUAUUACCACUCCUUCUAACUGAGCCUAAUAGUUGAUAUUGUAUUUAGGCUCUGCUAUUGGAUUUAGGUUGGAUAGCCUUCUUAAACUGAUUGAGACUCGCGCACGGAACAACAAGAUGACUCUCAUGCACUAUCUUUGUAAGGUACAUUUUUCUGCUUAUUCCCUAUGGACUAUCAUUGUAAUCCAAUUGAACGCAAACUCUUAUUUGUUUGUAUUUGGUCGAAUCUACUUGAUAUGCAUGUCUUGUUAGUCAUGGUCUUUCUUGAUAUGCCAUAGGUACUCGUUGACCAACUACCGGAGGUUCUAGAUUUCUCUAAAGACCUGGGCAACUUAGAACCUGCAUCAAGGGUAUUCUUUUUGUGUCUGGUUCAUAAUCUUCAGGAAUUAUUUGGCAUCUAUUGACUAACAUUUUUGAUGCGUUGCAGAUACAAUUGAAAUUUUUGGCGGAGGAAAUGCAAGCUCUAAGUAAAGGAUUGGAGAAAGUUGUACAGGAAUUAUCCACCUCUGAAAAUGACGGUCCGAUAUCAGAAAAAUUCCGUAAGGUAUGGAUGAUGCCAUUAAAAUGACAAAGGCGAUAUGCAUGCCUUAAAGACUGAUUUAACUACCAAAAGAGUCUAUGGUGAGCACUCGCUCCUUGACUAAUAGUUUCUCUUUUGACCUUUAGAUUCUAAAGGAGUUCCUCCGUUUCGCUGAAGGUGAAGUGAGGACUUUGGCCUCACUGUAUUCUACCGUAGUAAGUCUUGGUCCGAUGAGUACUGUUUCAAGGUUUCGUAAUGUUGGAUAAGUAUUAUUAACACAGAGCUGCAUGAUACAGGGUAGAAAUGUAGACGCAUUGAUCCUUUAUUUCGGAGAAGAUCCCGCUAAGUGCCCUUUUGAACAAGGUACUCAUUUAAGAUUUGACCUUGUGUUUAGGACCUUCUAUUCUGUUAGUGGUUGUUCCCUGUCGUUCACAACUCUCAACACGAGCCUUUCAUAACCGGACCGACCAUCUUCCUUCAUAGUGUUUGUGGUUUGCUUAGUCGGCGGUUUACACAGCUCUGAUCGGUUUAAUCGCGGGCUACCUUUCUAACUGCAUCAAUUUUCUGCUGCAGUUGUUACAACCUUGCUCAACUUUGUCAGAAUGUUCAACAAAGCCCAUGAUGAAAACUGCAAGCAAAGUGAGAACGAAAUGAAGAAAGCGGCAGAAAGUGAGAAGCUUAAGAUGGGCGCUUCGAAGGAAUCCGAACGAUUGUUGCGUACUCCGAUCCAGAGCAGCAACGUCAAAUGAUCGGGUUUCUAAAUCCGACGCGUUCAUCAUCGUGGACGAAAAAAUAUAACAUGAACACAGGUUUGAGCAGAAAGGUUUCUUUUUCGUUUUCUCAUUUUCCCCUUUACAAGGCUAAAUGGGAAAAAAAGUUUUGGUAUUUAAUGCGCGGGAUUAGAAUGUAAAUUAGCGUAGUUUGUACUUGUUUCGCAGAUGUAGGCCUAGAAUUAUGAAUCGACAAAACGUGACGCCGCAAGGCCGAUUUUGUCCUCCGGUCCGGCAUGCAUAUGCAUUUCCUAAACUUUUUUUAUGGAGCGAUGAAAGUUGAGGUUUCACAAUAAAGCUAAUUGACAAUGUAGUCGUUUGCCUAAUUAAUUAUAAGCACAUGCGGUGUGGAAUUGACAGGGUGCAGGAUAACCUGCUCUAAUAACAUGAAAAAGUUGAUGUUCAAUUAUAGAAUCAACUGGCAAUAUAAGUAGUAGUUCGAUUAGCUUAUAAGCACAUGUAAUGUAAGGUCUUUCUUUUUCCGAUGUAGAAUUGAUAUUCUCGACAUGAUAGAGGUCCAAAGCAAUACAUCAGUAGGGAACUUGUGCGACGUUAGAUUGCAGCAGUUUCUUUCAUUGAUAUAAAUAAAUAGAAGAGGAAUUUGUGAUAGUUCCUUCAGUUUUCUUAAAAUUUUGUACGUUUAAUUUACACUUUUGAAAUGUGGGUUGCACUGAAAUUUCGGGAUCCUGUGCAAAAUUUAUAAGGAUCUCUUUUUAAGAUAUAUAUAUAUAUAUUUUAAGUAUGACAAUAUAUUGAUACUAGAAAAUAAUAACUUAAAUCAAAACAACCUUUAAGACUCAAUGAUUGUAAGUUUACAAGUGUCAUUAAAUAAGUAAAAAGAGUUAUAAACAUAAUCUUCAUUAAAUAAUAAAAAAAAGUUCAAUCUUAAGCAACCAAAUAAAGAAAAAAAAGCCUUUAAAAACUCUAACUUUAGAGUUUCACUUGAAUGUAUAGCAUUAUUAUAUAAUUAAUAAAAUUGAAAAGAAAAUCGUUUUUAAGGUGGUGUUAUUAACACUCCUAAUAUCUCAUUGUGCAUUAUAUUUGGAAAGAAAAAAAGAAUUACACUUAUAAAAGUGCACUAUAAGAUUUUAAAGUGCUAAUAAAAUCAUUUUUUUUAAUAUAUAACAUUAUUACAUAUAAAUAUAAGAUACCAAAAAAUUUUGAGGACCAUGUGCGAUUGCACAUUUCGCUCCCCUCAGCGCCGUCUCUGGUGGGUUGGACUAGUUGGUCGAGCUUUCCGCCCUUGCAUGGUCGUACUCAAGUUUGAAUCCCUCUGCACCACUGUAAUCGUUCUUAAUAUUUUAGUUUCCUUUUUGAAGUUUUGAUACCAAGAAACGAUGGUUGGCCUGUCUGAUCUGUGUUCGAUCCACCUAUAUUAACUAACACUUGUUUGUUGGAGUUGGUCGCUGCUGUUUUGUAUAAUCAUACUUGUGAUCUACAAGUUAGGAACAAAGUUUGCAUUACUUAAAUCGAAUUUUAUCAAAUUCUGGGCUCUUAGCAUAGCUCAUGAAAUGACAACAAUUACGUCGCGGACUAAUGAUUUGUGGACAAUACAAUUACUUUGCAGACUAAUUGUAUAAUGACAUGUGAUGUUCCACUUUAUAUUCCAAACACACUGAAAUCUCUCGAGAUUUCUCUCGUCAUGAUUAAUGAUGUGAGAAUCCGUUCUAACUUCUCAUAGCUAAGCAUCAGUGUGGAUUGAGACAUUUGAUUCAUAACUUCAAUAAGCUAACACUUUAUGUUUUUUUUUUUCUUCUCAUUUCUGUUGGUCGCUUUCUGGUUUAAGGAUUGAACCAAUACACCUACUACAAUGGAAAGAGAGCGACGUGACUUGGUUGUCACGUUUUUUCCACAUUAGGCUUUAUCGUUGCAACGAAAAUGAAAGCAACAAAACCUUACGAGAGUAACUACUUAUUAAUAUUUGUGAUUCGAUUCCACUAAAAAAUUACAGACUUGCUCAUAAAAACAACCAAUGCACAUUUAUUUCUUAUUCGACGUCCUCGAUCAUUUAUGAAAUUUAAACUCAAAUUUAAUAGUCAAAAUGUAGGUAGGGUAGAGAGAGCCUUGAUCAACAAAAUGCGACUAUUGUGGACCAAAAAUACUUGUCCGGUCAAAACUAUAUAGUAUAAUAAUAAAAAUGUAGAUAUCGUAUCGGUCGUUGGCACGUGCGGCUUUAGCUGUACCAUCCCCGACAGUAUGUCUUGUGAGGUGUGUGUGUGGAGCCCGAGCAAAUCACGUGCCCGCAACGUUACAAAGAUGCAGGGGAUUGAUUCCUUCUUCUCUUUCAAUCCCAAUAUUUACAUUUUGUUUUUCCAUUUUUUAACUCUAUUUUUUUCUGUGCCACCAAAUCCCCGUAGAUUGCAACGACGUCCAUCUCCUAGGAUUCUCGCUGGAUUCUUUUUAUGAAGAUCUUGAAAAACUUUUAAUCAUAUCUUUUCAUUGUACAUCAUACGAUUAAAAAAUAUUUAAAAUUGAACAUAAUCAUCUGACGAAAACUGAUCGUAUGAUCUACGGUAAACGUAAUUAAAGGAUCUUCGGGAUCCUCACAAAGAGAACCCGACAAGGAUCCUAUCUCCAUCUCCCUCCUCUCCAACUAUUUAAAUACAUAUUUUCACAAAUUACGGUGCACAAAACAAAGUCGAUUAUUAACAUUAAAAAUUAGCGAGCCAAUGAGUUUGUAAUUCAGUUCAUUAUUUGAAUUUUCGAGUUUAAUUUUCCUCUUGUCACUUAGUUGCACGACAUUUGAAUUUUUGAGUUCAAUUUCUCCUCUUUUACCGCAAUAGGUUAAAAAUAUUCUCCAUUUUAUCCGAAGUUUCGAGUUUGAUUUUCCGUUCCUUGCACGACACAGAAAGUCUCGAAUUCCAUUCUCCCCUCUUGUACUUUGAAUUAAAAAAAUAAUAAAAUAGGAAAUAAAAUGGGUGUGUGUCGGUGCUUUUUUUAUCCUUUUUCUCAUCCUUUAUCUUUGUCUUUGGACCCGGCGGUGGCGGGUGAGAGUUUGUUGGGAAAUUGGCUGUAACAUUACGUGUCGCGGCCUGAGUGCAGCAUUACGUAUCAUAUGGACUCACACGCCGAUUCCAAAAAUGGUGGUGGGCCCACGACGAAAAUGAUAAAUGUUAUUUCCUACCCUACCCCAGUAAUAAAAUGAAUUAACUAAAAAUUAAUUAGUUAUUAUUUUUUUAAUGAAGUUACUUGUUUUUUGUUAUGUAUAUAUAUGAUUAAGAUAAACGACGUAUUUAUUUAAAAUAAAUGCUAAAGAGAUUCUUUCAAAAUGGGACCUUUACGACAUUCCACCAUCGUAUUUUUUAGCACAAUUCUCAGGAUAACAUCUUAAAAUAUAUUGCUAGGUAUAUGAGGUGACGGAUAUCCCAUGAAGGGUCUCAUUUGUAUUUAUUCUAUUUAAAAAGUUAUGAGUUGAGCCGAGCACCUAGUAGCGUGAGCUUGUAAUUAAGUAGGGCUUUAAGAUGUUUGAUGGAAGUGGAGCCCAACCCAAGUGGGUAAAAGUGUUUGAAAUCUAUUUAUAAACCAUGUCACUUAGUAUUAUGAUUUAAUGAUAUUUUUCCUAAUUUGUAAGUGAUAGGUCUUAUGUUCGAUUAUGGUCAAAGGUGAAUUUGAACCACAUUAUUAUUAGUUUAUUAUAAGACUAACCCACCUCCUAUUCCUAAUGUAAAAAAUAUCGUUUGUUAAAAAAAAAGUUAUGAGUUGAGGAAAAAAAACGAGUAUGAAAUUAAAAUAAUCUUUUAAUUAUAAUUACAUACAAUGCAUUUAGAUGUUUUGUGCUUCCUUUCGUUGGUGUUGGAUUCCAUAUCGGCAUCAAUCAGUCAGAAGCCAAACAUCAUUGGGAUGGCCUUGUCCUUUCAAAUUAUUAAUAAUUAUUAGUUUAGAUAAAAAUUAAUUUGCAUAUCCUUUGUUGUCGUUACCUCCUGCCAAAGUGGAAUCAAGAUUCUAAAUCCAUGCGGCACUUUAGUUAAGUUCCCACCAAAUAUAUAAUUAUGGUAAAUGUGGCUUAAGCAAUAAUAAUCAAGCAUUAUGUAUUACUUUUUCUAUAUUCAUGAAGUGGGUCAACUGAUUAGGUUUUUUAGGUAGCUAACACCCUUAAUUAUGGCCAUUAUAAAUAGUAAAUAAUGCACAAUGUUGAUUUACAUUGAUUACAAUGUGAAACUAUUUUAUUCUCAAUGUGAAUCGACGUAGAAUAUCGCUUGUAAUAAAGAAACUAAACUCAAAUAACGACAAAGCAUAUGUAGUUUACAUGCUUAAAAACAUUUUAUAUCACAUCUGAAGUUUUGUUUUCGUAUUCUCCGUCUUCAAUAUCACUUGAUAGUCGUACCACAGAUGAGGUCGUCCUUGCAACUGACAAUGUACGAAGCUUCCUCACUUUAGCAUCCCCUUUUGCCCUAUUUUAUCCGAAUUAAGAGGAAAAAGAAGAAAAUUAAAAGAGAAAAAAAAACAGAACGUGCCAUAAUUUACUAGGCACAAAUAAACAUCAUCAUCUACAACACAACACAAAAGCAAAAGAAAAGUGUUUUAAAGUUUCUGCCACUUUUCCGGCAUUGGAUGUGUCAUGUGUGGAGGAGCUUGGCCAAAUUAUAGAGAGCAACUACAAAUUACACGAAUUUAUUGAUAUCGUAACGUCUCAUGUUAAUAAUAUAAUUUUAUUCAAAAAAUAAAAACUUUACACAUAUCAAUAUAUUACUAGCACGAAAUCACUAUAACCGUACCAUAUAAGUAAAGGAAAACUAAUGAAAAUAGCUUGAAAACUUUGAGUUUUAACGAUAAGGAAAAAAUAAAGGGUAAAGUGAAUAGUACCAUGAUUGAUUUUUUAGUAUUAAAAUAUGAUUUUUUGUUAAAAAGAAAAAUAUCAGAAGUUUUUCGUUAAGGCUCUUUAGAAGUAAGUCAUCCUCGAAAUUAUAGGGCUGUGAUGAUUACAUAAAACUAUUGCCACCACCAGAUGCUUCCAAAGUCCACCUCCCUCCCUCUCUCUCUCUCUAAAAUUAGGAUGUAGGAAGCAAGAGUCACCAUUUGCAUGUGAGUGUUGUGAGAGCAAUGACUUUUGGUUGCCUCGGUCACAGUGUCCAUAGAGAUCCUCCAAUCCAAUACAGAAAAGCUACCUAAUCAAGGCUUUAAUAAGGGAAUCAAACACUCCCCCGAAAAAGGAACAAAAGAAAUUACCUUAACACAACCCCUAAUCAUUCAUCCCCACCGAUUUCUAUCCCUCGCCUUUUCACUUUACAUAUCCCUCUCACCACAUUCAACUCUCCUACAAUUACGACGUUUACGGUAUUUUAAAUCAGUCACGCACUGUUAUGUUAAAAAGUUUAAACAUAUAAUUGUGUACAUAGAAUUAUAACACCAUUAUUUUACUUUUGACACGAUAACUUUUUGUGUUCGAUUAUUAGUCUCGGUGAAUUAUCCGGCCCACAAAAUGGUGGCAUCCGGUUUUUUGUGACUAGGUCGGACGGUUCAUUUGAUCCGACUGACGGAACACGACAGAUCUAGGUAAAUUUCUGUGCACAUUCAUACAUUAUUAAUCUAGGAAACAAGAAAAGGAAAACAAACAGCGAAAGAAGAAAAAGGAGGAAUCCGGUGGGUCAGUGACCAGCGCCUUACAAGAUACGACUAAUUAACAGCAAAAUCUAGUACUCGGUGCGUUUGCUAUCUCAAUCGCUUCCCAAAGGCAUAGAGAUCCAAAUGCCUCACGCCCCACCAACCGCCAUUUCUUCUGCUUAAAGCUUUCCAUGGCCCAUUUUACUACUCAUCAUUGCUAGCUAAAAGCACAGGAUUAAUUACCGAGAUAAAAGGCAAUGGACGUGGGAAGAAGGAAGAGCGGUGUGGUUGCAGGCUCAGUGUGGGAGAGCAGAAUGAAGGUUGAUCAAGUUAAAGGCGGGGUUAAGGUCUUCAAUGGCGAUCAGGACAAUGCAGAAGAGACUAGUACUAAUGGGGUUACUGCCGCAACUCGCGCGAGGUUGAAGAGAGCUCCAGCUGGCGGCGGCGGUGCGGCGAGUUCUGGCAAGAGAAAGACCUGGAAAUCUGAGACCUUUGAAGGUUCGGAGAAGAGCCCGAUUCAGAUUUCGAAAGGGAAAACAGAGUCCGUGAAGAAUUCGGAUGAACAGUGCAAGGAGCUGAGCGUCUCUGUCGAUGGAAUCAGGAAGAGCCCAGCUCAGCUGAGGAGGCUUAGAUCUGAGGGAACCAAAGAGAUUGGUGUUUCUGCUGAGAAAAAUGAGAGAAGCCCAAUUGGGAUUAGGAAGCCGAGACGUGAAUUACUGAAAAGUUCUAGUGAUUUGGGUGAGGGAGCUGAGAGGAAUUCGAUUCAGCUGAGGAAGGUGAAAUCGGAGUCGAGCAGGGGAAUUGAUGACCCUUCAGGGAGUGCAAUUCAAUCGGAAAAGCCGAAAUCGGAGCCGAAUAAGGCCUCCGAUGAAUCUGAUAAGGAAAUGGAAUCGGUUGAAUCGGAGUCGAGCAGGGGAAUUGAUGACGCUUCAGGGAGUGCAAUUCAAUCGGAAAAGGCGAAAUUGGAGCCGAAUAAGGCCUCCGAUGAAAUUGAUAAGGAAAUCGAAUCGGUUGAUGUGUCUGUUAAGGAGAUUGAGGAGAACCCAGUUGAGAAUUCUGAGAUUGGAGACGAUGGAUCUGAUGAGAAUUGUAAGGAGUUCGGUGUGUGUGAAGAAAUGGUCGUGAAAUCGAGCGGUGGGAGCAAUGCCGGUGUGCUCAAAUCUGAUGAUGAUCGUAAAGCGAAAGAGGACAAUGACGGAGAUGACGGCGGAGAUGAAUCCGAGGAGGAGGUGGACGAGGAAAUUGAGGUUGAAAUCGAAAAGAAGAGUGUUGACAUCAAGGAAGUCAAUGCAGCACCAGAAGAGAAACCAACGGCCAAGAUUGUGAAAGAAGAAGCGAAGGUGGUGAAAGUCAAUGAGGUGAAGAAGCCGGCCGGUCCGGUCAGAACUGGGUCCGGUCCGGCGCUUCUCCAACUUGAGCGCAGAGAAGUGAAAAAGCUUCUUCAGAAGCCGCCGGAAUCCAUUUCCUUGAACUUGAAGAAAUCACCAGCUCCUGUUAUAAAACGGGCAACUGUUUUUCCAAAGGUCCCCAAAUAUAAUUACACUUCAUGUAAGUUUCUUGAUUUCUUUUGAAUUCUACAUCUGCAUAUUUCUCGAUUUAUGCUUGUCAUCCUUUCGCACUAAUCUUCUCUGUAUCGUUCCAAUUUAUCAUUCUUUCUUGAGAGAACUCCCAAUUUGCAUAUUGUUAUUUUAGUGAUUUGGGUUUUGUUGGGAUUGCUUCUUGGUUCUAAUCUUGACCUUUCUUUUCACCAAUUAGUUUCAGCUUCAAAAGAGCGCCACAGCAGCUUCCCAGAAACACACAGCAGAUUGCAAAGUCUAGGUGAGUUUUAAUUCCUAAUUUAUUUCUUAAUCUACGGAGAAGGGAUUCGAAAUUUGGUGUAAUCGGAGGAGCAUAUCAUACUAACCAACCGGUCUAAUCCACGUCUGUUUUCAUCGUUUUAUUUUCUCAGUGGAUUUGAUAAUGUGGAAAGAUAUAUCAAGAUCAGUUUUUGUGUUUGGAAUUGGAACAUUUGUGAUACUAUCAUCCUCCUACACAAAGGAUAUUAACAUCAGGUCAGUUUAAUCCUCAUCAAAAUAAAUUAACAAAAAAAAAAAAUAAAUUCUGCAUUUCCUUCCUCUAAAUCUAAUUAAUCUUACUUAAUCCUUAUUCCUGCAGCUUUAUUUCUGUAAUAUCCUAUCUUGGGCUUCUUUAUCUAGCUGCCAUCUUCCUCUUUAAGUCCAUUAUUUGCAGGUAAUUUACUUUUCACUUUUAUACACAUACUAAGAUUAUUUUUUUGACCACCCUUUUGCUUUAAUUUGGAAAAUUAAUAUUUCAGGGGAGUUUUAGAAGUAGAUAAUACAAAUUAUGUAGUGGGUGAGCAAGAAGCAAUUUGGCUGCUAAGACUGGUUCUGCCUUACUUGAAUGAGUUCCUGCUGAAGCUCAAAGCUUUGUUCUCUGGUGAUCCUGCCACCACAAUUAAGGUACUUUCUAUUUUUUUUUCCUUCCUUUUAUUUAUUUAUUUAUCUAUUUUUAUUUCUGAUAAUGUUGAUACAAAAAGGUUGGUGAUGUAUAUUGUAUCUUUUGCAGUUGGCAGUGCUGCUCUUUGUUUUGGCCAGGUGUGGCAGCUCCAUUACCAUUUGGACCAUGUGCAAAGUGGGUAAGUCCCAAUUUUUGUUCUCUCGUUAUAAGUUGAGCUAGUCAGUUGGUUAGGACAGUCAUGCCGUCUCUUUGAACUUACGCUUAAAUCUUUUUCCUCACACAUUAGAAUAGUUUACAGUAUGUUAAAGAUGAGCUAGGUCAGUCGGUUUAGAUAGUUCAUGCUGCCUCUUUACGCUUACGUUCAAAUCUUCUUCCUCACAUAUUAGAAUAGAUUAAAAUAUCACCUUAUAGCGAUAACAAUGGAUUAGCAUGAAAAUUGGGUUUUUUCUUAAGUUUACAUUUUACAAUUUGAUCAAUGGUAGUGCUACUCACACAUCUCUUUUUACUUUUUACAAACCGUUAUUAAUUUUUGUCAAUUGAUCUUAUUCAAUUCAUUCAAUCCGCCAACUAAAAAUUAAGAGAAAUGUGUAAAAAAUAAAAAUAGGUGUAUAUAUAACACACACUUAAAUCAAGGGGAACACUAAAGUGAAUGAACUAGGAGAAGGCUGUGUUCUGUUUUUAUUGUCAUUUUCGAAUCCGGAUCCUCUUUGUGAGGAUCCAGAAAUCCGUGAAUCGUGUCCGUUCAUCGUACAUCGUUCUGUCAGAAAUUAUUUUAAAUAUUUUUAUUUAAAAUUAAACACAAACAGUACUUGAUAAAAACUGACUGCACGAUAUACAAUGAACGGACACGAUUCACAGAUCCCCAGGAUCCUCACCAAAAGAAUACGGAGAGGAUAAUGUUGGGUUGUUUUCAACCCCACAAGUGCGAUAAAUUUUUAGUUGUGACGGAAAUACGAAUGGUACACCAUGUGUUUUUAUGUAAGUGGUGAAAAAUUUUAUUUGUUAAGUUAUUAACUUUUUAACACACUUAUUCUACUAUUUAUAUAACGACACGUGAUGUACCAUCGCGUGUGACACGGUCACAUUGAAGAAUCUCUUCACAAGUGCAGCCAAAACAGAGAGACAAGUGUGAAAAAUUCUCUGAAAACUCAGACUUCUGAUCGUUAUUUUAACUUUUUAACUGACGAUGUGGACUUGUUCGUGCAACAUGGCAGGCUUUUUCGGAGUUUUCACCCUACCCAAACUCUGCUCUUUGUAUUCUGCCCAGAUAACCGUCUACGGUAAAUUUCAUUCAUUCCUCCAAUUAUUACCCUUGUGCCCCUUUUUAUCAACUUAUUUUUACUCCAUGCAUGUAUUAGUAUUACUACGUCACGCACUUCUUCUACGAUAUUCGCACCGGCAUUUUGAUCCAUCUCACAUUGCAUACACGCACAUAUUAUGUCCAAUAAAUUUGUAGUAAACUCGAAAGAAAUAUGUAACCGGAUGUAUAUUUUUUUUCGGCACGGUUAAAAAUCUCCUAUAAACUCACCUACCCUUUAAAAUUGUAAUGGAUCUGUAUCUGGUAGUUUGAUGAUGGUCCCUCACUCUCCCUAACGUGGAAUUGAUUGGUCCCCACACCCCCACGUUAAUGAAAACGAUAUCCAUUAUGGUAUGGUCCCACACAAAUAAGUCUAUGAAUUAACAUUAUCGUAAGGUCCCAUGAACGACUAAAAGUUGAAGCAAAUAAUGGGCUUCAAUCCUUAUGGGCCCAACUGUGUUGGAUUUAUGGUCUAAGCCCAAUGGAUCUGUUAUAGUUUUCACUAUAUUAAUAUUUAAACGAAGAAGUGAUUUCCACACGUACAUAAUGACAUAUAUAUUUUUUCUUAUGUCCACGAUCGUUUAUUUAUGGUUGUUGGUUUGAAUUAAUUAAAGGAGAGUCCAUCGUAGUAUCAUAAAUAUGUUUCCAACUAUAAUUGUAAAGCAUAUGCGUGCUUGUUCCUUUUGACCCAAGUUCCGAAUCUCCUUCUCCGAACGUAUUUUCAGAAGAGAGCUAUAAUUAUUUUAUAGAGCCUUCACAAGCUCAAUGUGUCCUAACAAUGUAUGCUUUGGUAUUGACGUGAUCAGCUAAAUUUUGGGUUCGGCGAUUUCGGGAUGCAUGGGAGUCAUGCACUCACAAGAAACCAUUGACCAUUGCCAUUUUUCUACUGGUUUGGAACCUCUCUUCUGUCGUCGCUCGAAUUUGGGCAGGUAUGUUAAACAAGUCCCAACGCUUCUACGCGUAGUGUCUAUCAUUUUUUCUAGUAAUUGCAAAAUCACAGUGGCUCUCCCUCUCCAUUGUUUACGAUAUAAUUAUGAAACCGAGCAACGUUUUUGCAGCGUUUAUAUUGCUCGUGGCCUUCCGGUACUAUCAGCAGAAACUGGUGGCGGAGGAGUGGGCGGAAGAAUCAGAUGAUGCCGCUGCAGGAGGAGGAGGAGGAGGAGGAGGAGCUCAGGAAACCUGGGAACAAGAAGGAGGACAAAGACAAGGGCAUGUGGAUAUUACCAAAGAAAAGAAAGGAUUCUAGACUCUAGGAUUAUACAUAUUAUAUACCGUAUGUUGUGCUCAAAUCAAGUUUUUUAAGUGUCUGUUUUAUUCUGGUUUACUGUAGAUAGCUAAAUAUCUUUGAUUAGGGACAUUGUUUAAUCCCAGCUUGUGACCAAUAAUUACUUCACUUAAUGUACUUUGUAGCUCUUACGAAUAUAUAAAGGAAAAUAAAUGAAAAGUUUGGUUUUCGUUGACUACUCUUAUUAUCCAUUCCAUUGGUGUUAUUGGUGGUGGACCUUGCGGUCGUCUCGUCAUUAAGAUUGCUAAGUUUCUAAACACUCCUUAUUUGUGUACUUUAGGGUUUUUUACUACUGGUUCAUGGUUGGUGUGAUAAGGGCUCGUGUUUAGAGUGUUCAGACGAGUAAUCCUUUAAAAAAUGGUCAUGUGUGGAUUUUGACAGAUAAAUGGUAGAGAUUGACGUAAAAGAUGACAUUGAUGCAGGAGAAUGGACAUAAUAUUGAUCGAAAUAAAAAAUAAAACGAAAAUAAUGAAUUCGGAAUAUUACAUGAGCCAUUUGUGAUGGAAAUCCUAUUUUUAUGUUGAGGAUUAUGUGUGCAAGUUGCAAUUUGUGCAUGUCGGAGCAUAACUUGACCUUUACUGUGUAGGAAAUCUUAGUGUACGACCGUCGGAUCACGUCAAGUGUCAACUUGAUGGCACGCCUCAUUCCAAUCUUUGGAAGGAGGCCUGAACCCAGUUACAAGUGUGUUUUUUGAAAUUUUUUUGUCGAUGCAGUCGAUAUUUUAAUUGAAAUAUCGAAAAAAUUAGAUAAAGAUAUGAAAAAGGGAGGUGAAGUUUAAACUUUACAUGAUAUUUAUUAAAUUUCGUUAAAAUCAACAUAUUUUCUUGAUAUUUUCGACAUAUCGGUUAAAUAUUGACUAUAUGACAUUCACUAAAAUUUAUUUUAAGUGUCAAUAUUAUCAAAAAAAUUUCCAUCAUUUUCAUCAAAGGCAAUCGAUACCGAUAUCAAAGGCAUAUCGAAAAGCACUUAAACAGAUCGAGACGGGACCUAAAAGAGGAAAAACAUUUGGACGGUGUUUUUUCUUUUUAGUUUGUAAAGCCCAAAUGCGCGGCCCGAAAUCUCGAACCCGUUACAUAAAAAACAGAGAGCGCGAGCCUCACGGCGGCAAACGGCAAAACCGGUAACUAUUUUUUGUUUCGGAAAUUCAAACCAGUGUUCGGAAACGAAGAGAGAAACCCUAGAGAGCAUUGUCAGUGUCAGUAUGCGUUGACUACAACACAGAUACAGUCGUCAGAGCCGGAAAGGACGAAGGAAGACGCCGAGGAGUGCUGGGAAAUGAAGGAUUCCCAGUCUCUCGCGUCGCGGUGAGGAAUUUGAAUGGGUUUCCAAGUCUAGCUUCAAUUAAAGGCAAAUUCCUGCAAAUUGUCGGAUGGUAUGGAAUCAAUCCAUGAUGCUGAUUUCGUUUCACAGUGAAGAAGAAACUGGACUUUGGAGUCUGAGCCAAGAAUUGAGAUUCCUCUGGAAUUUUGUUUGAGUGAUGAACCUUUUAUGGUGGCCACUGAUGGACAUAGUGUCUCCUAUAAUGUACGCACGCAAAAGCUCAAAUACCUUCUUUUUUAUGGAAUUGAAGAUAAUCCAUGUACUGAAGUUGUUGUUUAGGUCGAGAUCAUUGUUUCUGUCAAUGGAGACAACAAGUUUAAGGGCGCAGAUCCAAACAGACUCUCUGCAAGGUAUGCAAUGCUUCCCUUUCUGUGGUUUUGCAUUUGUAACAUAAUUUGCAUUCCAAUUUCAAUGCAGACACCUUUCUUUGUGAGGUGUUGUUUGUUCCCUUCAGAUACACAUGAUUAUAAGAUAGUAAUGUAGAACAAUUUUGCCUACCUUACAAUUAUUUGCAACUAGAGAGAGGUUCUCUACUUUAAUCAAUUACUAAGUUGUUUUUUCCCUUUCAGGAGUGUGCUUCUCUCACAUGAAACAAGGUUAAUUAGGUUUUUUAUUUUAAUUCGUUUACAGUUUUAUCAACUUGGGAGCAGCCUCUCCAUAAAUGGGGGUAAGGCUAGCCGACAUUCACCUCUCCCAGACCCUGCGUAAAGCGGGAGCCUUGUGCACUGGGUACGACAGUUUUAUCAAGAGUAGAUGCAUGUGCAUGCUCUUAUGUUUUUCCCCAUUUACUUAAAUCUUUUAAUUUUGGUUGCCAUGUGACACUUAUGUUAGGUCAUUUUUAGAAGAGGCCAGUGCACAAUGGGUGAAUGAGCCUAUGCUCUGAAAAUGGCGUAGCUGCUUGAUCCUAGGCAAGAGUACUUUGGUGAUAAAGUGGUUUCAUGUGAUGAUGGCACCCAAAAACAGAAAAAAGGGUUGUGCUUGGACAAGAAUAUGUUGUUUCGAUCCUUAAUGAUACAGAAAAAGUAAUUACUUGAUUCCCUUGAUGAUACUGAAAAUUAGAGGUGCUAUAGUUAAUAUGUGUGAACAACACAGCUCUGGAACCAGCAUGUACCUUAUUGGAUUAAGGCUAUAUUUUAUUACAUGCACUUGAAGUUCACCCCAAACUCAGAAUGAAGCUCAUACCAGACCGAGUUCUGCUACCCAUGCUGUUUUGAUUGUUGAUGAUACAGAAAAUUUAAGUAUUUGAUUCCCUUGGUGAUACUGAAAAUUAGAAGUGCUAUGUUUUAAUAUGUGUAAUGUAAGCAGCACAACUCUGGAACCAACAUGUACUUUAUUGGUUUUCUGGCUAUAUUUCAAUACAUGUACUUGACUUUGGUAAUUAUUAAUUUUGUGUGGUGCAGGUAGAUGCAAGUUCAGCCAAAACUCAAAAUGAAGCUCCUGGGCUGAGUUCCGCAGCCCAUGCUGAAUCAGUAAGUGAUGCUGUACAUUUUCUCAUUAUUUCAUUUAUUGCGUAAUCACACAACCCAGUUUAGACCGAGUGAGUGUUUUUGUUCAUUUAGGGGAAGAGGUAGACCAAUGGGCAGAGGAAAAGGGAGAGCCACAGGCAAAGGCAAUGAAACUCAAUUUGCAUCUUCUUCUCGAACACUAAGUGAGAGAAUCGUACAUGCAAAAUUUACUUUGUUAACUAAGGCUUAGUUUGACAUUUUUGUUGUGGUUUCGUGCUAAAAGGAAGAGGAAGAGGCAGUCAAGCCAUGUCAUCAUCAAGGCGAAUGGAGUUCACACAGCAAUCUGCUGUAUUGCCAUCACCUUCACAAACUGUGACAAGAGGAAGAGUUCAAGGCGGGGCCAAUGUAGCAAUGGCAACUUCACAAGACUUGCCCUUCCGACCAUCAACUUCGGUUAAUGCCAAGCCCAGGGGAAGAUCAAAACACUUCAUUUGGAAACCAUGAAGUAUAGAAUCUGCUGUUGGAGUUGUGCAACUGAAAGCAACCUGAAGAGAGUUCCUUGUAAGUACUAACCAUGUCCUUGUUGUGCAUAGUUUGAAUAGUUUACUCCUCUUGUCUAGUUUAGACCAGUUCCUCUCAAGCUUACUUUAUCAGCAAUCCUCGACAGUAAAUUGAGCCGCCAUUUAAUAGGGUAUCAUUGUCUCAUAAAUCAUUAAAGUAUUGAAUGUCGUUUUCGAUGUGAACUAACUUUUGAAUUUUUCAUUAGGCCAAAAUAGAAAUAUGAUUUCUGACUAGUCUCUCUGAUCAUAUGAACUUUUUAUGUUGUCUAAAAGUUAGGAUACCAAAGAGUGGCUACUUUGAGCUUGUAUAUAUAGAAUACGGUGCCAAAUUUGCUCAAUGCCACAAACUCUAAUCUCUUUCCAUUACAGAUUGCAGCUUCUGAAUGAAUAGAGCUGCACCAAUUAUAAAGUCGAGCCCCAACUCUGACCAUUAUCAGCCUUGCAAGGCCUUAACAACAACAUUCAUUAAGUAGUUUUAAUGAAGCAUGUUUGGAAGCUGCAUUCAGUGGGCUUUUGAAUGGUAAGUUUAUUGCUUAAUUAUUGGUAAGAAAUAAUUAAAUGCAUAGACUAAUUAUGGUUAGUCUUUUAAACAUGUGGCACAAUCUGGAGGGAGGUAAGGCUACACAAUGGUUAGGGGGUGAGUAAAAAUGCAUAAACUAACUCUUGACUGACUGGCUUAAAUUCUGUAAAUUAGGACAUCUAUAGUCCAUUUGGAAAUGCUUCUCUAAGAAACAGUUUUUCUGGAAGCUUUUUAUGGUAUAUCCAUGUAGAAAUGAAGAACAUUAAACUUAUAAUUAUGCUGAACACUGGGCAAGCCAAAUUUAAAUAGUGUGUUGCUAUUCCUACCUGAUGUCAUGUCCUCAACCACCAUUAGGGAAAAUCUUAACAACAAAUUUAUUCAUUCAUAAAUGACCUUGAUACCUUUUAUUUAUCGUAAUCUAGCCAACUCUGUACUCCCACAUAGACCUAGUAAACCUAUAUUAUUUCCGCCCCAUCUUCUUUAGUUGGAUGCAGUGCUCCAAAUAAAUCUUUUCAAGGGAUCUUCUCUCGUUGCAGAUUAUUGAUCACCAUGUUUUCUUUUCUUUAAUUUCCAUUGUUUAAAUUAAUCACGACUGACACUAACAUAAAGCUUCACUUGAGUUUUGGUUUCUCUAUACAUAAAGAAGAGUAAUUCGCCGAUUCCCCCCCCCCCCCUAACUUGUAUCCCAUUGCCAAUAUUACCCAUAAAGUUUUAUUGUUGCCAGUUUCUUCCCUAAAAGACUAUGAAUGACCAAUUUCUCCCUAUCUUCAAAUUUAUCCAAAUUGCAUUCAAAAAGUAGCAUGUUGGUCAUUAAAUCUUCUAUUAUGUUUGUUAUAUUUUCUUUCUUAAUGUUGUUAUUAUUAAUUUUGAAAUGUGACAUUUUCAAUAGAAGGUUUAGAUGAAAUGCGGGGAAACAUGGCCGUAUGGGAAAAUUGGCCAUUUAUAUUAAUUUAUUGGGAAAUUGUCAAAAUACUCUUGAUUUAGGAAACUGAUAUCCGCACACCCCAUUCCCCCACCUACAGACCCCUGUUUAUUUAUGUUCCUUGAUUCUCCUUUUGAUUUAUUUAGUAUAAUAUCCACAAAUAUAUAGGGUGUUAAAAAAAAAUGGUGCGCGGGAAUCAUGUCCUAUAUAUAUAUGGAUUAUUGUUCACUUCUUUCUUGAUAUAAAUUGUAAUGUAAAGUAUGUUCUCGAGACAGAUAAUAAAUGGCAUCCACAUUUGGACCAUUUUUUUUCCUUUUUAGUUUAUAUAAGUCCAAUGGGUCCCCCGAACCGUUCCAUCAUCAAACAGCAGCAAAAGAAGAAGAACAAACCCUAGAGAGAAAUAUCAGUAUGACUGAGCUUUGACUAUAACAGAGAGAUUAGUCAGAGCCAAGCGGAAAGAAGCAACUAGUGUUUGGAAAUGAAGGAAUCUCAGUUGCUCCAAAGAGGAAUUUGAAUGGAUUUUGAAGUUUAAUCAAUUUCUCCUCUUGGACUCGGCACAAUCGGAAAUCCAAGGUAAGAUUUCCCUUGAUCUUGCUCCAUCAUUGUUCUGCCUUAUUUAAUUUGCUGAAAAGCAUAAAAGGAAACGUAGAAGAGGAGAAAUUAAUUAAUUAGUUCAUGGCAAAGUCGAGUAAUUUGACGGAUGAUAUGGUGGUGCAAAUCCUGUCUCGAUUACCACCAAAAUCUUUGAUGCGAUUCAAAUGCGUCCACAAGCUGUGGUGUGAUCUAAUUGAUAGUCCUAGCUUUGUGGCGAGUCACCUUUCUAACUCGAAUUUGAAAUCGAAAUCAGAUUCCUCCACCAGCAUUGUUGUAAAACAUACUGUUAAAAAUGUGGAGGAUGAUAGGAAGCACGUUUUAUUGUCAUUGCUUAAUGUUUGCAAGGAUGUUAGCGACGAUGAUGACCGUGUUGAGGAUCUUGGUGCUGUGUAUCCUUUGCUGAGUAUAUCUUCCCCUAAUUUUGAAAUUGCGGGUUAUUGUGAUGGGAUUUUUUGUCUAAGUCUUCACUUGUGUCCCGAGGAUAUUGCUUUAGUCAAUCCAGCUAUCAUGGAAUUUCAGUUUCUUCCCAAGUCUUGUCUGCUCCUCCCUCCCCCACAACCAGAUGUUGCUGAUGGAGUGGAUACCAUUACCAAUGCCAUCGGAUUUGGGUAUGAUUCCAAAGCUGAAACAUACAAGGCGGUUAGAAUUGUGAAAUUUUUGCCAGGGCCUAGAAAAGCAGAGGUAUGCACUUUAGGUGCUGAUUCUUGGAGAGAGGUCAAGUUUGAAAUCGAUUGUUCUGUCAUCUGGACACCUUCUUUUUAUUUCUACUUCAAGGGGGUUUUUUAUUGGUUUGCUACGGAUCUCCAUAAUAACGAUUUCAUCCUUACAUUUGAUAUGGGUGAGGAGGUAUUUCGUAAUAUACCAGUUCCGUAUGAUUCCCUGGAGAGAUUUGCAUGGAAUUGCAGCCUUGCAGUAUGGAAUGAAUCCAUUGCUUUGUUUUGCUACUGCAAAGAUGAAGGAACUGGACUUUCUAUCUUUGAUAUAUGGGAGAUGGAUGAUUCUACCGAUGGGGUAAAAAGUCCGUGGAGUAAGAAACGCUUAACAAUCGAAUCUGUACCAAGUAUAGAGAUUCCAUUGGUAUUUUGGAAGAAUGACGAGCUUCUUCUGACGGCCACUGACGGAUGUGUUGUCUCCUUUAACAUACGCACUCAAAAGCUCAAAGACCUUCCUAUUCAUGGCAUUGAAAAUCCACUAUAUAUUCAAGCUGUUCUUUAUGCAGAAAGCCUUGUUUCUGUCAGGGGAGGCAGCCAGCCUCUGGCUAUAGACCCAAACAGAUCCACUGGAAGGUUUGUAAUGUUUUUCCUUCGCGUGUUUUUGCUUUUAUACAUUAAUUAGUGUUUAAAUUUUGAUGUUAUAUACCCGUCUUUGGGAGGUGUUGUUUGUUCCCUCCAGUUCUUCAUUAUAACAAAAUCAGAUGUUGUUCCUGUUGGAAUUUUGCAAACUAGAUAGAGGUUCUCUACUUUUAAUUUUUCUUUUCUUUUCAGUAACAUGCUUCUGAAAGAAAACAAGAUUGUUUAGGUUUUCGUUCAUUCUGAUUCACUUACCUUAUCUUGUGUACAUUCAUGUGCGUGCUCUUAUGUUUUUUUCCCAAUUACUUAAAUCUAGUGUAUCGUUCGAGUUGUACUUUUACCCGAGGCAUGUAUGAGCUUAUGCACUGGAAAUGGCUAAGCUGCUGGAUCUCAGGAAAGAGUACGUUGGGGAUAUCGCGUGAGGAAAAUGUAUGUACUUGUUUCUCUUGUUCUACUUGAAUUUCGUUGUUGUGGUGAAGGCGUAUUUUGAAAUGUUAAUUAGGCUAAGUCGCAAAGACAUUGCUGACUUUGGUUGUUGAUGUUUUCUUCUCUAUCUUACGAACUCUCGAUAUCGUCUUAAAAUUUAGAUUUACCUUUUCAACUUCAUUGUAUGGAAUUUGGUUUUCUGUUUUAAUGGAGCGAACUCUAUUUUCAUUACAGAUUACAUUGCAGCUCCUGUAUUUUAUAAAAUCUAGAGGCCCAGCUCCGAUCAUCGUCAUUUUCGGCAGGCCUUAACCGCAACGGUCUUGUUACAUGUUAUGCCCAAACUUUUGAACUGACCGGCUUAAACCCAUAAUGCUUGGGUUGGCUAAUCAGAAUCUGUUCGUGUCCAAUCUGAUUUCAAACUCGAUUGAGCGGGUUAGAAUGAAGAAAAUAUUUGCCCAAAUUUAACCUGACCUCAAUCCAAUCGUUUAUUGGGUUGGGUUGAUGCAUUUCCGGUCCAUGUCAACCCAAAUUUAACUCCAUUUUAAGCCCAAAUUCAGGGCUGGUUUGGUAUUGCUGUGCUUUGAAAAAAAGCUGCUGUGAGAAUAAGCGGCUGUGCUGUGAGAAUAAGCGGCUGUGAAAUAAAGCCAGUAGAGUGUUUGGUAAAUUUUUUUGUGAAAGUGCUUUUGGAAAAAAAAAAGCAGGAUGAUAGUGUGUCUUUUCAUUAAAGGAGCACUGUAGCUCCGUGUGCUUUGAAAAAACUGGCUUUUUUUCAAAGCAGCAAAUAGCAGCUUCAACUUUUCCUUUGAUUUUCAGCUUAUUCUCACAGCAGCUUACAAAAUAAGCCCUUUUUUUUCAGUUUACCAAACACAAAAAUGACCCUCAGCUUUUUUUCACAGUGGCUUUUUUUAAAAUCACCUCAAUCCCAAACGGGGCCUCACUCAUGCACAUAUUAUCUAUCCCAUUCAUAUUAUUUGAGUCAUUGAUAAGUUUUUGAGUGACUAUAUCUGAAGUUUAUUAGCAGUUUUCAUAUGAAUAAUGAAUGAUACUAUUACUUUUACAUUUCUUUUGGUUGAAGCUUUUGGCAUACGUCUUGUAAUUUAAUUUCAACUUUGCAUGGUUUAAUUAGUAGGCCAAGUUGUCUUCUCUAAUUUUUGUUUGGAUAGUGAUGUAUAAAUGGUAUUUUAACCAAUAUUGGAGUUGUUUGGUUCAAAAUUUAAAAAAUCAUAAAAAAAUACAAUUUUAUAAGAUGAACUCGAUAAGUUGGGUGUAUAGUGUACCCGAACCCAACCCGAGUAAGUCCAAACUCUAUUAAAACUUGAACCCAACUAAACCCCCAUGAACCCGAACUCAACCCAAGCCCGAAUCAUGAAGGUUGGGUUAGGGUUUGGUUGACCAUCCAACUGUCUAAUUUGUCCGAGUUGCAUCCCUAACUUAAGCUAGGACAUUUACGACCUUCAAAUUUCUCUAUAGAAAGAAGUUUUCAAGAAAGUGCUUUUAUUUGAAGCACGUUAAAUCGAUGAGUGAGAUAUGCUUUGUUAUUUGGUUAGGAGUUCAACAACUCGUCGAAAGAGUCUCAUGAUACGAAGAUAGGUUGUCAAGAACAUAGAAGAUUUUUGUUAGUUAGUUGGUCAGGUCUAAUGUGGAUCUCACAUGACAGUAGUUGGAGCUGGCAACUCUUUUAGAGUUCCCUCAUUUGGAAUAUGCGGGUAAAAUAAUCAAGCUGGCUCUUGUGAACAACUUGAUGCACUCAUUUUGAGCUAAAUCAUUUCCACUUUUAGAGAUCACCCCAAAAGUUCAAGUAGUUCUUGAAAAAAAAGACACAAUGAAAGAAAGCAUUGUGUUUCUUUUUUUUUAACUAGAAGCACUCUUAGCUAAAACAAUUUCACCAAAAACAUUAUCAAAAGCGUUUUUAAUUAUCUUAAAAUGCUCCUAAACUACUCUAAAUAUGACCGAGAGAAAACGACUCAUCCAAAAAAGAAUGGAGUGGAAGAUGAUACUUAAUGGAUUGUUAACUUAUUAAACAUGUUCUAGAGUUUGGCAGGUGGAUAUAUUGGUUACCAAUCCUCCAUUUCUCAUCUUAUGAUUGAGCCUAUUAUAUAUAAUGAUACUGAUUGAUGUAUCUAACAUUUCCAUAAUCUCAAAAAAGGACGAGACUAACGAUGAUUAAAGCAAAUUGCCAAGACUGGUAGUUUUUUAUGAGCAUCAUUUACCACGUGUCACAUUUAGAUAUAGCUUGUCAAUUAAUUAGGUUAAUAUAGCACAAAGAGAGGGACUGAUCAAGAAUUAGGCAGAUUGAUUAAAGAAACACGUGGAUGGCCCUGAUGAAUACAACUAUAGAGAAAAAUUCAGAUUAUCAGAUGCGUGGGAGACUUCGUCUUCUUAAACUUGAUUAGCAAAUGAAUGAGUAAUGCUAGAAAAUCACACAUUUAUGCAUUUUGUACACUUGUCUUUAUAAAACCAACUUUCGUUAGCUUCUUAAGAUUUAUGGAUGAAACUUCAAGCGUAAAUAUUAUGCAUCUGCUAGUAUUUUUAUCGUUUUCGUUUUCAUUUUCAAGUGUAAAUAUUCAAUAAAAAUUACUUUUUAAAUUCAAUAAAUAGUUAGGCCGCUUUUAAGAUGGCUUCUAUAUUCCUUAACUCGUACACAGAAGACGAUUGUGAACACGGAAAAUUCCUGAAACGAAAGAGACAAGAAUAACGUGCACAAAAUAAUAUUUGUGUUUUUUAUUUUUGGGGUUACAAUCUCUCUCUAAUUUGAUCAUCUGAUUCGAUCUCCGUAAGAUGUUGAUUUGUGGAUGUGCGAUUGAUCCAAAGGGCCGUUGGGCUUGAUCUAAGGAUGAACGUUCUUCAAGGGCCGUGGGCUUGAUCUUGAAGGUGGAUUUGAUCGGAUCUUCAAGGAGCCGUUGGGGCUUGAUCUUGAGGAUGAGCGUUUCUUCAAGGGCCGUUGAGGCUUGAUCUUGAAUAACGGUGAUGAACGGAUCUUCAAGGGCUUUUGGGCUUGAUCUUGAAGAACAGUGAUGAACGGAUCUUCAAGGGCUUUUGGGCUUGAUUUUGAAGAACAAUGAUUGGAUGUAUGGAUUUGUCGACGUUUGUUGAUCCAAAGGGCCGUUGGGGCUUGAUCUUAGGAUGAAUGGAUGAUGAACGAUGGUGCUUUCUUCAAGGGCCGUCGGGGCUUGAUCUUGAAUUGGUGGAAGUUCUUCAAGGGCCUUUGGGGCUUGAUCUUGAAUUGGUGGAUGGUUGAUCCAAGGGUCGUCGGGGCUUGAUCUUGGAAGAACGAUGAACGAGGAACGAAGAACACUUUCUUCAAGGGCUGUCGGGGCUUGAUCUUGAAUUGGUGGAUGACUGUUGAUUCAAAGGGCCGUUGGGGCUUGAUCUUGGAAGAACGAUGAACGAAGAACGAAGAACACUUUCUUCAAGGGCCGUCGGGGCUUUGAUCUUGAAUUGGUGGAUGAUUGUUGAUCCAAAGGGCCGUUGGGGCUUGAUCUUGGAAGAACGAUGAACGAAGAACGAAGAACACUUUCUUCAAGGGCCGUCGGGGCUUGAUCUUGAAUUGGUGGAUGAUUGUUGAUCCAAAGGGCCGUUGGGGCCUAAUCUUAGGAUGAACAGUUGUGUGGAUUUGUUGAUGUUGUUGAUCCAAAGGGCCGUUGGGGCUUGAUCUUAGGAUGAACAGUUGUGUGGAUGUUGUUGAUCCAAAGGGCCGUUGGGGCUUGAUCUUAGGAUGAACAGUUGUGUGGAUGUUGUUGAUCCAAAGGGCCGUUGGGGCUUGAUCUUAGGAUGAACAGUUAUGUGGAUUUGGUGAUGUUGUUGAUCCAAAAGGGCCGUCGGGGCUUGAUCUUAGGAUGAACAGUUGUGUGGAUUUGUUGAUGUUAUUAAUCCAAAGGGCCGUUGGGGCUUGAUCUUAAGAUGAACAAUUGUGUGGAUUUGUUGAUGUUGUUGAUCCAAAGGGCCAUUGGGGCUUGAUCUUAGGAUGAACAGUUAUGUGGAUUUGGUGAUGUUGUUGAUCCAAAAGGAUCGUCGGGGCUUGAUCUUAGGAUGAACAGUUGUGUAGAUUUGUUGAACACUUUCUUCAAGGGCUGUCGAGGCUUAAUCUUGAAUUGGUGGAAGUUCUUCAAGAGCCGUUGGGGCUUGAUCUUGAAGGAGGAAUUUCUUCAAGGGCCGUUAGGGCUUGAUCUUGAAGGAGGAUUUGACGAAGAACGAAGAGGGCUUUCUUGAUCCUUCGGGAUUUGCUUGAAUUUGGGAGGUUGGAUGCUUGAAAGCUUUAGAGUUUCAAAGCUUCAAGGAUUUUGGAUGUGUGGGGAGUAUUCUCUUCCAUUUUGGGAGUAGAGAAAUGUAUUUGUGAAUUGGUUUCUGAUACCUUGAUGUAGAAGCCUAUUUAUAGGCUUUGAGAAUGAAUCACCACCACAAAAUAUUUUUUUCUUUUCCAAGCACCAUUGCCUAAUUUCCCACUUAAUACAAUUUUAAACUUGAAGUGGUAAUUUUAUGGCCUAAUUUUCCACUUAAUAUCAUUUUAAACUUGAUAUGUGCAUGCUUUGUCAUUGCCCAAAAUGAGAAGAAAACCUUGUUUUGAUCUUCAAUGGAUUGAAAUGUGCUUGCCUUGUCAUUGCCCAAAAUGAGAAGAAAAAACUUGUGUAAUCCUCCAAGGGUAUUUCUUCUUAUUUUGUUGAGUCACACACCAUGUGUACAAUUUGUAUGACACGUGGCAUAUGCCAUGUAUGCUCUGACACGUCAAAAUUUUAAUGCGUUGGUGAACAUUUAUUUCACCGCAAUUUCGAUGUCUACAAAUGCCCCCAUUUCAAGGUGCGUCGUAUACAUGUGCUUGUCACGUGUAGGAGAUGCGUUUUGAAGUCCCUUACUGUAGAUGUCAAUCCAAGGGCCAUCGAGGCUUGAUCUUGAAUUGGGCUGGAGAUUUCUUCAAGGGCCGUUGAGGCUUGUUCUUGGACUUUGUUUGAAAUUUCUUCAAGGGCCGUCGAGGCUUGAUCUUGAAGGUUGAAAUUGGACCACAAGGAGCUUCAUGUGGUAUAUGAUUUUUGGCUUUGGUAGUGGAUGAAUCGGCACGUAUUUGUUUUUACGCUUUGUUGACUUUCCACAGCUUUGAUCUUGAACUGGGUUGGAGGAUUUUUUGGAUUCCUCCAAUUAUUGAUUUUCCACAGCUUAUUCUUGAACUGGGUUUGAUUCAAAUAUGGUGGACGCUUGAUCUUGAAUCGGACUUGUGAUUUCCUCAAGGGCCGUCGAGGCUUGAUCUUGAAUUUCGUUGGAAGCUUCUUCAAGGGCCGUUAAGGCUUGAUUCUUGAAGGUUAACUCAAACACAUGGCAAGUAGGCACGAGGUGAAGGUGACGACUUGUUGCUUUGUUCAAUCUUUCUAAUUCACACCUGAGCAGUUUGGUCAACGGUAUGAUCUUCAAGAUUGAUGGGCUCUUCUUCCAGUUGGUGACUUGAUAUUUAAGGAUUUGAUUCAAGGGUGGUGAAAAGGCACAUGCAGCCCACAACGCCUAGCAAGUCGACCCAAGAAUUUGAGGGUCAAAACGAGUCCUCCACCCAGAGUGAUUGCAAACCUGAUGAUAUGAGAUACUUUUGAUUUUGAAGAAGUAGCGGAUGAAUUGGCACGUGCUUUGUUGUGCUUGUCUCCACAUGCUUCAAUGUAUCAUUUUCCCUUGUCUUAUCUAUUCUUCUGGCAGAAUGUAGCAUCUUCUCGAGUUCUUCAGCUCAGACUCCUUCUGCUGAGCUGACUGUGCAGGCUGCAUUCUUCUCUGCUUAUUUCUUCAGGCAGAUGUGGUAGCUUCUCGGAGUACAGCAGCAGUGGGAGACGAGUACUCGAUAGCAGUGCUAGGUAAGCAAUCAGGGAAGGGUUCCAAGCAGUCGGUUCCUUACCCGAGUUUGAGUGGAGGUUCCAGCAUAUUGUUUUCUUUAUCCUUAUCUUUGUAGGUAAGAACAAGGACAAAGGAAAGGACAGGGAGAACACAUGAUAUGAGAUACUCUUGCUUUCUACCCUGGUGAUAUAAGAUACUUUUGAUUUGGAGUCAUUUGUUUGCAAAGGUACCCCAAGGAAUAAGAAAUACUGAGUGACUCGAGAGGCUUCAUUGGGAAGGCAUUCUCGGAGAUGAAGAAAGGUUAUGUAUGUCUGCCUUGCUAUGGAGGGUGAAGGUGGACAGUUAUAGGAAAUUCUUUAGUACCUGUAGAGGUAUUAUUCUUUUACUUGUGUCGGCAACCAAUGCGUGAUUGAUCAGUAUGGCUUCACGUGCUUUCUUCUUUAUCAGAAAUCUUCGACAAAUUGUCCGUAAUUUUCGUCAAGCUGAGUGUGCAUGUGACAGGUGUUGACGAGGCUGAAAAAGACUAGCGCCUCUUCGAUAUCUGGGAUCGGCGCUUCGACAAAUUGCCCGUGAUUUCCGCAAAGCUGAGUUUGCGCGUGACGGGUGCUAACGCGUCUGGAAAAGCAAGAUGCUUCUUCGAUUUCUGAGCUUGCCUCUUUGAUUUUUGAAUUGGCCUCUUCGAAUUCUGAGCUCGCCUCUUCGAUCUUUGAAAUCCCGUCGAGUGUUGAUCUUUUAUGCUCGUGCAAACCAGGAGCGUUGAUGUCGCCUUUUAUGCUCGUGCGGGUCAGGAGCGUUGAUGUUGCUUUUUAUGCUCGUGCAGACCAGGAGCUUUGUGUCAUGCAGUUUAGACUCGUGCGGGCAAGGAGCUUUGGUUCGUGCAGUUUAGGCUCGUGCGAACAAGGAGCAUUGGUUCGUGUAGUUUAGGCUCGUGCGAACAAUGAGCAUUGGUGUUGCCUUUUAUGCUCGUGCAGACCAGGAGCUUUGUGCCAUGCAGUUUAGACUCGUGCGGGCGAGGAGAAUUUGUGAAUUUUGUCUCUUGAAUCGGACUUGUGAUUUCUUCAAGGGCCGUCGAUGCUUGAUCUUGAAUUUGGCUGGAAGCUUCUUCAAAGGCCGUUGAGGCUUGAUUCUUGAAGGUUGCCUCGAACACAUGGCAAGCAGGCACGAGGUGAAGGUGACGACUUGUUGCCUUGUUCAAUCUUUCUAAUUCACACCUGAGCAGUUUGGUCAACGGUAUGAUCUUCAAGAUUGAUGGGCUCUUCUUCCAGUUGGUGACUUAAUCUUUAAGGAUUUGAUUCAAGGGUGGUGAAUCGGCACGUGCAGCCCACAACGCCUAGCGAGUCGACCCAAGAAUUUGAGGGUCAAAACGAGUCCACUACCCAGAGUGAUUGCAACCCUGAUGAUAUGAGAUGCUUUUGAUUUUGAAGAAGUAGCGGAUGAAUCAGCACGUGCUUUGUUGCACUUGUCUCCACAUGCUUCAAGGUAUCAUUUUCAUUUCCUUUAUCUGUUCCUCAGGCCGAUGUGGCAUCUUCUCGAGUUCCUCAUCUCAGACUCUUUCUGCUGAGUUGACUGUGCAUGCUGCAUUCUUCUCUGCUUGUUUCUUCAGGCAGAUGUGGCAGUUUCUUGAGUUCCUCAGCUCGGACUCCUUUUGCUGAGCUGACUGUGAAGACUGCAUUCUUCUCUGCUUGUUUCUUCUGCACGUUGUCUCCACAUGCUGCAAGGUAUCAUUUUCACUUGCCUUAUCUGUUCUCCAGGCAAAUAUGACAGCUUCUUUGGAAGUACAGCAGCAGUGGGAGACGAGUACUCGAGAGCAGUGUUAGGUAGGUAAUCAGGGAAGGGUUCCAAGCAGUCGGUUCCUUCCCCGAGUUUGAGUGGAGGUUCCGGCAUAUUGUUUUCUUUAUCCUUGUCUUUGCAGGUAAGAACAAGGACAAAAGAAAUGACGGGGAGAAAGCAUGAUAUGAGACACUCUUGCUUUCUACCCUGGUGAUAUGAGAUACUUUUGCUUUUGAGUCAUUGGCUUGCAGAGGUACCCCAAGGAAUAAGGAACACUGAGUGACCCGAGAGGCUUCGUUGGGAAGGCAUUCUCGGAGAUGAAAAAAGGUUCUCCAUGUCUGCCUUGCUAUGAAGGGUGAAGGUGGACAUUUAUAUGAAUUAAUAAUCGGUACUGUUCUUUCACUCUUGUCGGCAACCGUUGGAUGAUUGAACAGUAAACUUCACGUGUUUUCUCCUUCACCUAAAAUCUUCGACAAAUUGCCCGUGAUUUGCGCAAAGUUGAGUAUGCAUAUGACAGGUGUUGACGCGGCUGAAAAAGACUGGCGCAUCUUCGAUAUCUGGGAUCGACUCUUCGACAAAUUGCCCGUGAUUUCUGCAAAGCUGAGUUUGUGUGUGACGGGUGCUGACGUGUCUGGAAAAGCAAGACGCCUCUCCGAUUUCUGAGCUUGCCUCUUCGUUUUUUUUUUUGAAUUGGCCUCUUCGAUUUCUGAGCCCCGUCGAGUGCAGAGGUUGCAUAUGACAAGUGCGGACAAGUCUGGAAAGGAAGAUUGGCCCGUGGUUUUCGAGCAAGCCCAGCUUUUGAGAAAGCUAGCACCUCUUCGAUUUUUGAAUUGGCCUCUUCGAAUUCUGAGCUCGCCUCUUCGAUCUCUGAAAUCCCAUCGAGUGCUGAUUUAUAGAGGCACGCAAUUCGUUUCAAAGCACACUUGAAUUUUCGCUUGUAGAAACUCCCUUCUUGUACUUUUAAGAUCUUGAUUUAUCUGACCUCUUCUUCCUUCAACACUUUUGAAAAUGUCUGGACCCUCCGACCGUCGUUUUGAUUUGAAUCUUGGUGAAGAGGCAGUCCCGCCUUCUCCAGACAACAUAUGGCGCCCAUCCUUCAUAUCCCCUACUGGUCAUCUUACCGUUGGGGAUUCGGUGGUGAAGAAUGAUAUGACCGCUGCGGUGGUAGCUUGAAACCUUGUCACUCCCAGAGAUAACAGACUACUUUCCAAACGGUCUGAUGAGUUGGCUGUUAAGGAUUCUCUGGCUCUCAGUCUGCAGUGUGCAGGUUCUGUGUCUAAUAUGGCCCAACGCUUAUUUGCUCGAACCCGUUAAGUUGAAUCAUUGGCGGCUGAAGUGACGAGUCUCAAACAGGAGAUUAGAGGGCUCAAGCAGGAGAAUAAACAGUUGCAUAAGCUCGCACAUAGCUAUGCGACAAACAUGAAGAGGAAGAUUGACCAUAUGCAGGACUCUGAUGGUCAGAUUUUACUUGAUCAUCAGAGGUUUGUGGGUUUGUUCCAACAGCAUUUGCCUUCGUCUUCUGAGGCUGUACCGCGUAAUGAAGCUCCAAAUGUUCAACCUCCAGCUCCUCUUCUUGCUGGAGUUCCGUCGAGUGAUGAAGCGGUGGAAUUUACAGUAUCUUGGAUUGUCGGUACGAUUCAUCUCUUCCGGCUGUCUGCACUCAGGCAAACCGAUCACCUUCUUGUCCAACAGGUCAUCCAGCAUGGCAACCACAUCAGAGUCGGGGAAUGGAUAAGUCUUCUCCUCAAGCUCCUUCAAAGUGCGUCUACGCAUCUCUUGAUCACGAAAAGCUUCGACUUGAAUCGCCUUGCCUCGUGUAGAGAUUUUGACGGGAGAUGUGUUGACCGUCAUCGAUUCCUUGGUGGGUUUCCAUGUAGCCUUUUCCACCUUUGUCCCAAGAACUUUGUCGUUCUUGUAGUCGGCGAUCGGUUUUUUCUUCCCAUGAUGGGCGAUGCUCAACUCCAUGUCAUGGGCGCGAGUGGCCAAUUCCUCGAAGGUCCGUGGUUUAAUGCCUUGAAGGAUGUAUUGCAAACCCCAUUGCAUGCCUUGGAUGCACAUCUCGAUUGAAGAGGUUUCCGAGAGCCUGUCUUUACAGUCGAGGCUUAGAGUACGCCAUCUGUUGAUGUAGUCAAUGACUGGCUCGUCCUUCCACUGCUUUGUGCUCGUCAGUUCUAGCAUGCUCACAGUGCGGCGGGUGCUGUAGAAGCGGUUGAGGAAUUCCCUUUCCAACUGUUCCCAGCUGUUGAUGGACUCGGGCUCUAGGUCCAUGUACCACUCAAAAGCGUUUCCUUUCAGCGAGCGCACAAACUGCUUGGCGAGGUAGUCUCCAUCCGUCCCCGCAUUGUUGCAAGUUUCGACGAAAUGUGCAACGUGCUGCUUUGGGUUUCCUUUUCCAUCAAACUGCAUGAACUUUGGUGGUUGAUAUCCCCUCGGCAUCUUUAGGGCAUCAAUCUUCUUUAAAUAAGGCUUUGAGUACAACCCAGAGGUAUUUGAGCUCCAUUCGUACUGUGCCUUGACGGUGCUGGCGAUCAUCUCCUGCAGUUGCUGGAUAGAAAGAGAUCCCAUGAGUGCCGCUGCUUGGUCUGGCUCCGGCUUCAUAUCGAUAUUCUCCACCGGAGGCUCCUCUUCUGGGUUAGGGUUAUCGCCGUCCUGUGGCUCCAGUUGGCUGACGAGUGCAGCGAUUUGCAAGUCUUUUUCUUCCACAGUUCGGGUUAGCCUUGCGAUUGCUUCAUUCAUUUGAGCCAGCUGCUCAUCGAUUGAAGUUGCUCCAAUGGUCAUGACUUGCAUGGCUGAACUGCCGCUCGAAUCGGCAUUGGAGAGCAUGGAUUCGGAGUAUUUCCUUGGACUUUCGCCCCUUGGUGAGGCUAAGGUGAUCAAAGGCUUGUGCCUUGGGUGUUCUUGUUCCCUUGGCAGAGUUGAUGCAGAGGUGAAAGAGGCGGCAGAAGUAGCUCUUGCCUUGCUUCGAGUCGUGAUGCCUAAAGUGACACCACUUGCGACGAGGACGCUCUUGUUCUUUACGCCAGUUGCGGGAACAGUUUGAGCCUUCCUUGAAUCCAUUAAUUUUGGAAAUGUGCUCGAAUUUCUUGAACGGAGAAAGAGAUGAGAGGUAGUGAUUGUCCCACCGGGCGUGCCAAUUUGUGAACACGAAAAUUUCGGUAAAUAAAUGUUGACCGAUAAAUCAAAGUUUCAACGCUCAUGUAUUACAUAAAUUUUACACGUAGCGUGUGUCUAAACAAAAAAUCGAAAUAAGUUAGAAAAGUCAUCAAACAGGACACGUGUCAACACCUGGCAGAAACGACUUAUUUCAUCUGGAAUAUUAUAUUCAAAAUUAGGCCUUGGAAAUUUCUAUAAAUAGAAGGCUAAUUCAUUCAUUUAAAGGAACCAAAAUCAUUAGGCAAAAUUCUUGAAGCUCUGAAGCUCUGAAACUCCGAAGCUCUCAAGCAUCCAGGUUCCCGAAGAAUCAAGAAAGUGUUCUUCGUUCCUCGUUCAUCGUUCUUCCAAGAUCAAGCCCCAGCGGCCUUUUGGAUCAACAAUCGUCCACCAAUUCAAGAUCAAGCCCCGACGGCCCUUGAAGAAAGUGUUCUUCGUUCUUCGUUCAUCGUUCUUCCAAGAUCAAGCCCCGACGGCCCUUGGAUCAACCAUCCACCAAUUCAAGAUCAAGCCCCAAAGGCCCUUGAAGAACUUCCACCAAUUCAAGAUCAAGCCCCGACGGCCCUUGAAGAAAACACCAUUGUUCAUCAUCCGUUCAUCCAAGAUCAAGCCCCAACGACCAUUUGGAUCAACAACGUCGAUAAAUCCACACAUCCAACCGUUCUUCAAGAUCAAGCCCAAAAGCCCUUGAAGAUCCAUUCAUCACUGUUCUUCAAGAUCAAGCCCAAAAGCCCUUGAAGAUCCGUUCAUCGCCAUUAUUCAAGAUCAAGCCCAAAAGCCCUUGAAGAUCCGGUCAUCACCAUUAUUCAAGAUCAAGCCUCAACGGCCCUUGAAGAAACACUCAUCCUCAAGAUCAAGCCCCAACGGCUCCUUGAAGAUCCGCUCAAAUCCACCUUCAAAGAUCAAGCCCACGGCCCCUUGAAGAAACUUCCAACAGUUCAUCCAAGAUCAAGCCUCGACGGCCCUUGGAUCAACGAAACAUCCACAAAUCAAUACCUUACGGAGAUCAAAUCAGAGGAUCAAAAUAGAGAGAGAUUGUAACCCUAAAUCAUCAAAAUACAAAUAUUUGUUUGUGCACGUUGUUCUUGUCGUUUUCGUUUCAGGAAAUUUUCGUGUUCACAAAUUGGCAUGCCCGGUGGGACAAUCUCUACCUCUCAUCUCUUUCUCCAUUCAAGGAAUCCAAACACACCUCAAAGUUAAUGGCAUCAAGCAAGGGACAAGCCGUUCUCGCAAUCACUGAGGGAAGGAUCCUAAGCACUUCUGCCGCAAAUGGACAAUCCAUUGGCGCCACAACCGCUCAUCAACAUGCCACUUCAAAGUUGGUGCCGCUAAAAGAGCAAAGGGAGCAUCAAAGGUGUGAGUCUGUCAUCAACCUGACCUCGUUGGGGGCACCGAAGCAUGCUACUGAGGCACACAAGAUGACAUCCCAAAACAACCAACGACGUUCUUCGUCAGCAUCUUGGAUGUCUAAAGGAAAGUCACGUCUAUUGGUUGCACAAGUCAUGACCAUCGGCGUUACCUCCAUCGAAGAACAACUGGCUCAAAUGAAUGAAGCAAUCGCAAUGCUAACCCGAACUGUGGAAGAAAAAGACUUGCAAAUCACUGCACUCGUCAGUCGACUGGAGCCGCAUGACAGCGAGAACCCUAACCCAGAAGAUGAGCCUACGGUGGAGAGAAUCGAUGUGAAGCCGGAGCCAGACCAAGAAGCGGCACUCAUGGGAUCUCUUUCUAUCCAGCAGUUGCAAGAGAUGAUUGCCAGCACCGUCAAGGCACAAUACGAAGGGAGCUCAAAUACCUCCGGGUUGUACUCAAAGCCUUAUUCAAAGAAGAUUGAUGCCCUAAAGAUGCCGAGGGGAUAUCAACCACCAAAGUUCAUGCAGUUUGAUGGAAAAGGAAACCCAAAGCAGCACGUUGCACAUUUCGUCGAAACUUGCAACAACGCGGGGACGGAGGGAGACUACCUCGCCAAGCAGUUUGUGCGCUCGCUGAAAGGAAACGCCUUUGAGUGGUACACGGACCUAGAGCCUGAGUCCAUCAACAGCUGGGAACAGUUGGAAGGGGAAUUCCUCAACCGCUUCUACAGCACCCGCCGCACUGUGAGCAUGCUAGAGCUAACGAGCACAAAGUAGUGGAAGGACAAGCCAGUCAUGGACUACAUCAACCGAUGGCGUAAUCUAAGCCUCGACUGUAAAGACAGGCUCUCGGAAACUUCUUCAAUCGAGAUGUGCAUCCAAGGCAUGUAAUGGGGUUUGCAAUACAUCAUUCAAGGCAUUACACCACGGACCUUCGAGGAAUUGGCCACCCGCCCAUGACAUGGAGUUGAGCAUCGCCCAUCAUGGGAAGAAGGAACCGAUCGCCGACUACAAGAACGACAAAAUUCUUGAGACAAAGGUGGAGAAGGCUUCGUGGAAAUCCACCAAGGAAGCAAUGACAGUCAACACAUCUCCCGUCAAAAUCCCUACACGAGGCAAGGCGAUUCAAGCUGAAGCUUUUCGUGAUCAAGAGAUGCGUAGACGCACUUUGAAGGAGCUUGAGGAGAAAACUUAUCCAUUCCCCGACUCUGAUGUGGUUGCCAUGUUAGAAGACUUGCUAGAAAAGAAGGUGAUCGGCUUGCCUGAGUGCAGACGGCCAGAAGAGAUGAAUCGCAUCGACAGUCCAAGGUACUGUAAAUUCCACCGCUUCAUCAGUCAUCCGACAGAAAAGUGCUUCGUGCUGAAAGAUCUCAUCAUGAAGCUGGCUCAGAAAGGAAUCAUCGAGCUAGAUCUUGACGAUGUGGUGAAGUCAAAUUAUACUACCAUCACUUCUGGCUCUUCCGACUCAAAAUUUUUACCUCAACCUCAGGGGGCAUCCUCCAAGACAAGCAAAGUUGAAGGAUGGACUCAAGUCACUCCUAAGAAAUUGCACAAGAAGCAUACGUCUCCUCCACAAGUCCGCCAAUCGGAAAGGGGGCAAAGCAGCUUUUGUCAACCUUCAAAGCAACGUGAACGUGUUGAAGAUGAUGAAAUUUCGACAUAUAGAUCGUCCAUCCCCAUCACAAUGCGCGAUUUCUUUCCCAAAGACUUAUUCAAUCACUUGGUCAAGGCUCCUUGCUAUGAAGAUUGUGAGGAACGCCUCUCCAAAAUUGCUUGACAAAAUUCAUAAAUUCUCCUCGCCCGCACGAGUCUAAACUGCAUGGCACAAAGCUUCUGGUCUGCACGAGCAUAAAAGGCAACACCAAUGCUCCUUGUUCGCACGAGCCUAAACUGCACGAACCAAUGCUCCUUGUUCGCACGAGCCUAAACUGCACGAACCAAAGCUCAUUGCCCGCACGAGUCUAAACUGCAUGGCACAAAGCUCCUGGUCUGCACGAGCAUAAAAGGCAACAUUAACGCUCCUGACCCGCACGAGCAUAAAAGGCGACAUCAACGCUCCUGGUCUGCACGAGCAUAAAAGAUCAACACUCGACGGGAUUUCAAAGAUCGAAGAGGCGAGCUCAGAAUUCGAAUAGGCCAAUUCAAAAAUCAAAGAGGCAAGCUCAGAAAUCGAAGAAGCAUCUUGCUUUUCCAGACGCGUUAGCACCCGUCACGCGCAAACUCAGCUUUGCGAAAAUCACGGGCAAUUUGUCGAAGCGCCGAUCCCAAAUAUCGAAGAGGCGCCAGUCUUUUUCAGCUUCAUCAACACCUGUCACAUGCACACUCAGCUUGACAAAAAUUACGAACAAUUUGUCGAAGAUUUCUGAUAAAGAAGAAAGCACGUGAAGCCAUACUGAUCAAUCACGCAUUGGUUGCCGACACGAGUAAAAGAAUAAUACCUCUACAGGUACUAAAGAAUUUCCUAUAACUGUCCACCUUCACCCUCCAUAGCAAGGCAGACAUACAUAUCAUUUCUUCAUCUCCGAGAACCUUUCUUCAUCUCCGAGAAUGCCUUCCCUGACUGUUGAUCCAAAGGGCCGUUGGGGCUUGAUCUUGGAAGAACGAUGAACGAAGAACGAAGAACGAAGAACACUUUCUUCAAGGGUUGUCGGGGCUUUGAUCUUGAAUUGGUGGAUGAUUGUUGAUCCAAAGGGCCGUUGGGGCUUGAUCUUGGAAGAACGAUUAACGAAGAACGAAGAACACUUUCUUCAAGGGCCGUCGGGGCUUGAUCUUGAAUUGGUGGAUGAUUGUUGAUCCAAAGGGCCGUUGGGGCUUGAUCUUAGGAUGAACAGUUGUGUGGAUUUGUUGAUGUUGUUGAUCCAAAGGGCCGUUGGGGCUUGAUCUUAGGAUGAACAGUUGUGUGGAUUUGGGGCUUGAUCUUAGGAUGAACAGUUGUGUGGAUGUUGUUGAUCCAAAGGGCCGUUGGGGCUUGAUCUUAUGAUGAACAGUUAUGUGGAUUUGGUGAUGUUGUUGAUCCAAAAGGGCCGUCGGGGCUUGAUCUUAGGAUGAACAGUUGUGUGGAUUUGUUGAUGUUAUUGAUCCAAAGGGCCGUUGGGGCUUGAUCUUAAGAUGAACAAUUGUGUGGAUUUGUUGAUGUUGUUGAUCCAAAGGGCCAUUGAGGCUUGAUCUUAGGAUGAACAGUUAUGUGGAUUUGGUGAUGUUGUUGAUCCAAAAGGGUCGUCGGGGCUUGAUCUUAGGAUGAACAGUUGUGUGGAUUUGUUGAACACUUUCUUCAAGGGCCGUCGAUGUUUGAUCUUGAAUUGGUGGAAGUUCUUCAAGAGCCGUUGGGGCUUGAUCUUGAAGGAGGAAUUUCUUCAAGGGUCGUUAGGGCUUGAUCUUGAAGGAGGAUUUGACGAAGAACGAAGAGGGCUUUCUUGAUCCUUCGGGAUUUGCUUGAAUUUGGGAGGUUGGAUGCUUGAAAGCUUUAGAGUUUCAAAGCUUCAAGGAUUUUGGAUGUGUGGGGAGUAUUCUCUUCCAUUUUGGGAGUAGAGAAAUGUAUUUGUGAAUUGGUUUCUGAUACCUUGAUGUAGAAGCCUAUUUAUAGGCUUUGAGAAUGAAUCACCACCACAAAAUAUUUUUUUCUUUUCCAAGCACCAUUGCCUAAUUUCCCACUUAAUACAAUUUUAAACUUGAAGUGGUAAUUUUAUGGCCUAAUUUUCCACUUAAUAUCAUUUUAAACUUGAUAUGUGCAUGCUUUGUCAUUGCCCAAAAUGAGAAGAAAACCUUGUUUUGAUCUUCAAUGGAUUGAAAUGUGCUUGCCUUGUCAUUGCCCAAAAUGAGAAGAAAAACUUGUGUAAUCCUCCAAGGGUAUUUCUUCUUAUUUUGUUGAGUCACACACCAUGUGUACAAUUUGUAUGACACGUGGCAUAUGCCAUGUAUGCCCUGACACGUCAAAAUUUUAAUGCGUUGGUGAACAUUUAUUUCACCGCAAUUUCGAUGUCUACAAUGAUAUUUUAACUAAAUGCUCGCAUUUUCACAAAAAAUUGUGAGUAAACUCUUUUUAAUCAGUUUUGAAAAUUUCUAACAUGAGUCAUCAUAAAACAUAUUUUGGUAGAAAUUUAGCUGCACCAAGCACCGGUGGAGCCAAGUAUAAAGAUCUGGUGGGUUAUAGCAUAGGGAGAGUUUUAAUUUUUAUGUUUAAAAACACUAAUCAUUUGGAUUAUUUUAUGAUUUUAAAUUGCCAUAGUCCACAUAGCAAAGAAAAUGUCUAAAUUUUAGGACAGUUUUUAGGGAAAUAAGAGUUAAUAAAUGUUAAAUAAACUCAUCAUUUUAACCAAUACUAAAAUUUAGUAGUAAUAAAUUAAAACUUCCAUACCACACACGGUUCUUUAUUUUAUUCAUUUGAAAGUUUUGAAGGCUAGAAGCCUUGAAAAUAGACUAUAAGUUUCUUGCUUCAAUUUUUUUCUUUCAAGUUUACUAUUAUUGUAUGUAGGCAACAAAAAACAUUGAGCAAUUAAUUUUGUAGUAAUAUUUUUAGUUUAGCUCACCCACAGAAUACUUCUUGGCUCCAUCAUUAGCAUCAAGCUUCUUCAAAGUUCAAGAAGGAAAUUUAAAGGAUGUCAUGAUCGAUGAAACUCUGUUCUAGUUAUAUUCGAUCUCGCUUGUAUUUUCAUGGGUUUUGUUAGUUUUUUUCUAGCUUAAAAGAUUCCAUAACUAAAUAUUAAUCCAUAAUAUAAUUGAACAAAAAUGGAAUUGACAUCAAUGGCAUGGCACGCUAAUGAGCCUCUACCAGUCAAAUCUAAAGUUAGAGACGUGGCAAUGACCCUGAUAAUUAUUGUUAAUUGCUAUUUAUACUAAAUAAUUUACUUAAUGGUCAUGAUGUAUAUAUGCAUCUCAUUCAUUUCAAGAUUACUUUUAAGUUUGAAAUCGGUGAGGUGGUAUGAAAUUAUUUACUCAGUGACAGUAAUGUGUAUAUGCCAUUCAUUUCAAGAUCAUUUCAAGUUUGGAAUCAGUUGAGGUGGUACUAAAUAAUUUAAACAAUGACGGUGAUGUGUAUAUGCAUUAUUGGUUUUUUUUUUCUUGGUUGAGGAAACCCUAUUUGGAAAAUUGAGUGGCCAAUUUCUUUUGAUAGCUUAUCUUCACAACAGUGAAGACUUGGAUAUUGGAACAAUGAGGAGGUUAAGGUCGUAAUAUCACCAUGCAUGCAUAUGACAGACAAAUUUUCUCCUUCCACAGUUUGCACUUGAAAUACAGAGCUUUCAUGACCACGUGAUUUAAUUUUGUUUUCAACAAAAAUAAUACACGUCCAUGGAUGGUUAAUAAUUAUUGUAGCUUUCUGUUUCACCUAAAGUCACCCCGUCAUCAAGCAUAAAUUGAUCAUAUAACAUGCAAAACCCUAAUUGUUUUCAGGAAAUAAUGUCUUUAUCGUCAGAAGAAGAAUAUAAUGUCAUAUUUAUCACAAAGGCUCGCGACCAAAGCUAGCCUACAAAUUUUAUAUUAUCUAUUAACAUGUUCAAUAAUUUGCAAAAUACGGUGAUUGAUACAUUUCGUAAUUGAGGUUAUACAUAUAUAUAGUGUGUAUGUGUUUAAGUAUGUCAAGAGGAAAGAGACAAAUUGUAUCCAUGGAUUGUGGACCAUACUCUCUUAUUUCCCUAUGAGGGCCACCCCUUGAGUUAAACAAUGGAUGAAACUAAUUAUAUAAGGUUUGAUAGGUCGAUCGAUUAAGACUAAUUAUGUAGAUUAAUUAUAACACCCUAAGAUCGCAAGCCACUUCGUUGCCUUGUAAAUGAUACUACGCACCCUAAUCGAUCUAUUAAAUCAUUUAUAAAAUUUGUUCACACUACAAUGUCAAUGUAUAUGCCAAGUGGCAAAGUUAACGGUGUCCUAUUGUCCACAUAUUCAUGGUCAAUAAGAUUUCUCCUUUCAAUUCCAGUGAUAUUAAAUAGAUUUAAUUUUAAAUUACGACAAAUAAGAUUCGAGUAAAAAAUGUAGAGGACAGAGCUAUUGGUCAAGCCAAUUUGAUUACACUUAUGUUGCAAUGGAAAACUGAGGUACCAAUGUAUAAGCAGGUUAAUAAUUAUCUUAUUCCUUUUCAAACAAAUUGGUUGGUAUUAGACUCCAUCACCCCGAAACUUCUCUCUCCUUCCCCAACACAAGUGUAUUAGACUCCUGGUUGUUGGUGGGUCAUUCAUCUUCUAUGGCUUGAUUUCUAAGGUGGAGAUCUAUGUACUCCACCGGUUUGUGGCGGUGCCGCCUUACUUGGCCAGAUCCAUGGCGGGAUCUCUUUAGAUGUGGUACGGUGGUCUUGGCUAGAGUUUCCUAAUCCUCACUGUGAAAAUAAUUGAUUGGUGGAUUCCAUUUUCGAAGUAGUGGUUUUUUGUAGGAUUGUUGUUUGUACUGCAACUAAUGAAAAAUGUCUCGCUUAGCAAGUUAUGUGGCCUUGCUUAUUAGCGAUAAUUUGAUGUGAUGUGAUUUCGAUUUUGGCAAUGGGACUGUGUGUGCCUCGGUUUAGGUCUGGUACGUCCGCCAUUUGUGAUAGAUUUGUGCCGAUGGUGCUUGUGCUGCUGCCGAUGCUGCUUGUGGUAGCCAUUUACGAGACUACUCUUUAGGCUUGUAUGUGCAAAUUAAUCCAGACCAAUAAAUUGAUCACUAAAAAAAUGUCUCCAUUGUGACAACCCUUGUAAUUGUUCUUGUUCAUUAAUGAAAUGCUACCGCUUCUUGUCAAAAUAAUUUUUUUGUUGGUUACAGGUCUAUCAUCUCACAUGGUAGCUUUUAUUCUGUAAUCACUAUAAAUAAAUAAUUGAUUAACUGCCAGUUAAUUAUAUUCUGGUAAGACAUUCAAAUCCAGUAUGUGAUGCAACUUCUAUUUAAAAAUUACUAGGGGAAAAAACAACAGAUCAGAAGAAGCUACUUAAUUAUAUACUUCUUCUUCUAAUUCUAAUAUCACCAAAUUGAUCCCCAAAACAUUGACGAUUUCACUUGAACUUUCAUUUGUUUAUUUCUUAACUUAAUGCGUAUCGAGCAAUGCUAGUCAAAGUAAAUAAAUUUAGAGUUUAAUCAAGUUGGUUAAAACAAUGUCUUACUCUUUUUUUUUUUAUUCAAGAGUAAAUUGUAGUAAUGGUUCCUCAAUUUUAAUCAAAUUGGAGCAAUGGUCUCCCAACUAAAAAUUCAUUACCAUUGGUCCCUCAACUCAUCAAAAUAUGUAGCUAUGGUCAUUUUUAUCAACUUCAUCAGAAUUUUGUCAAAAGAAAUUAUGUUGGAAAGACCAUUGCUACAAUUGAGAUCCCUCAACUCAUCAAAACGUGUAGCUAUAGUCAUUUUCGUCAAUUUCGUCAGAAUUUUGUCAAAAUGAGUUAUGUUGGAAUGACCAUUGCUAUAAUUAGGUUAAAGUUGAGAAACUAUUGCUCCAAUUGAGUUAAGGUUGAUGGACCAUUUCUCCAGUUGGAUUAAAGUUGAGAGACCAAUAGUAAUGGAUUUUAAGUUGAGGGACCAUAACUACACAUUUUGAUGAAUUGAGGAACCAAUGGUAAUAUAUUUUUAGUUGAGGGACUAUUGCUCCAAUUAAGUUAAAGUUAAGGGACCAUUCCUACAAUUUACUCUUUAUUGAAAUUUGAAUUUUUCUCCCUAGUUUGGAUCAAUUUAAAUAGCUAGUGUGUUGGAAGAGUGGCUAUAUUAAGAUAAAUUGGAAGAAGAAAAAAAACUUAGAAAGAGCUAAUCUAGUGGAUAUGCUGCUUGGUGUAAAGUCAACAGAUUUGAUUAUUGUAAUUUAUCUUUAGAUCGAGGUCUUCAGUAUUACAUACGUACAGAAAGAAUGCGUUGAAUAAAACUGCAACGAAAGAGUGAGAGGUUCAGACAUGUAGCUAGCAUCAAUCCUGCAAAUCUGGAGUCAAUGAAAUUAAUGGCGCGUUUACGUAACCGUAAUGAAAACAAGAGAAAUUGAAUUGAGGAGGAGUUGGAAUGAGGAGAGGUCAGAAUCGAAUUCAUGUUGAAGUUGUUUACUUAAUUAAAUGUUAUGGAAUCGAAAUAGAAAUAACAUUAAUGCCAUAAAGUUGUUUACUAAUUCAGCAUAAUUGGAAUAUAAACCAGUAUGAUUACUAAAAUGCCCUUAUCCCAAAUCAAAUAUUUUAUAUACUUUUUUUAAUAAAAUUUGAUAUAAUAUAUAAUAGGGUAAAUUACAUAAUACCCCCUCAGGUUUGAGGUCUAUUACAACCUCAUACAACAUCUUUAAACAUUUUACUUUCAUACCUCACGUACUAUUUUAUUUCAAAAUAAUACAUCCGUUUGAUUUUCCAUCUAUUGGUUUGUUAAAUGCUGAUGUAACUGCCACAUUUGUGCUGAUGUGGCUACCACGUGGCAAUUUGUUUUUUUUAUAUACAUUAAAAAUAUUAUAAUAUUAACCCUAUUAAAAUAAAAAAAAAUAAAAAAACCAGAAAAACCCAAACCCAAAAAUCCUGCCCCGCAACCCCACAUCCCACCCCCUUACCCAUCUCUUCCUUCCCAUCCAUCCAUCCCCUCCACUCGAGCACCCCUCAACGCGGGUCCCACCUCGACCUCUCUCUCUCUCCAUCCCUCUCUCUCCUCUGUUAAAUGUGGAAUUCGAGAUGCGGGUGUGGUUUUUGAAGUCUAGUGUUUGAUGAACGGAAAUGGUUGGCCACGAUCUUGUAGGCGAGGUCUUCAAUUUAAUUAUUUAUAAAAUUAAAAAAGAAAAUAACAGCGGGGACGUGGUUGAGGGCGAUGUCGGUGCUGGAGAGGGCAUGCUGAACAAAAUCAGGGAUGUAGUUGGUGUCGUCGUAGGUGGAGAUGGAGACGGGCCCACAAUAAUUCAUCUUCACGAGCAGAACUGAUGUUCUGGGCGAUGACAUGGGCAUCGUAGACUUUAGGGACCUGGCAGUUCUCUAUGUCCCACCACACCGACGUUUUGGCGUUCACGUACUACGCCUCCACCAUACCGAUGGAGGGCGCCCCCGCCACCAUGGUGCUUCCGUUCACAUCCCCAGGCAUUGUCGCCCUCUAAACGCUCGAGAUCUAACGAUUAUUGAAAAACGAAGACGAUUGUUUCUUCAAAACAUCAACAUACUAAAUUAGAAUCGAAAUCCGACUGAUUGAUUCGCUACUCCUCCUACUUCUUCUCCUUCUUCUUCUUCUUUUUCUUGUUGUAUGGGUGAUUCUUUUCUAGGAAUUGCAGAUUGAUCUGUCUGGCGCCUGCUUUGUAAAUUGUAAAUGGGUUGGUUGGUGGGUAGAAUUAGGUAUGGAAGUGCUUCAAUAAGGAUGAACCGUGGGCUGAGUGGUAGAUUUUGUAAAUGGGAGUUGCAGAGAGGUGAGGGGGAAGGAAGGGGAUCUGGGUUCGGGUUUUUCUUAUUUUUUUUCUUUAAUUUUUAAUUUUUUGAAUAGGGUUAAUAUUAUAAUAUUUUUAAGGAAAAAUUAGUAUCCGGUCUCUAGUUUUAACUGUUCAUUGACUAAGACCUUAUUAGUUCUCAAAUUUUGAUUCAAGUCCCUAGCAUUAAUGUGAUAAUGAAUUUACAUGUUUAUUAUAUAAUUUUUUAAUAUAAAAAUUAGUAAUUAAUUUAGGGUUUAAUACUCACACCUCUAUUAAACUUCUAAUUAAUUUUCAAUUGAAACAUUUUCAAAAUAAUAAAAAUUU